rnacentral:rRNA from 1 species
CCGUGAGACAGGUGCUGCAUGGCUGUCGUCAGCUCGUGUUGUGAAAUGUUGGUUAAGUCCCGCAACGAGCGCAACCCUUUAUCCUUUGUUGCCAGCGAUCCGGCCGGGAACUCAAAGGAGACUGCCAGUGAUAAACUGGGAGGAAGGUGGGGAUGACGUCAAGUCAUCAUGGCCCUUACGACCAGGGCUACACACGUGCUACAAUGGCGCAUACAAAGAGAAGCGACCUCGCGAGAGCAAGCGGACCUCAUAAAGUGCGUCGUAGUCCGGAUUGGAGUCUGCAACUCGACUCCAUGAAGUCGGAAUCGCUAGUAAUCGUGGAUCAGAAUGCCACGGUGAAUACGUUCCCGGGCCUU